UACGAAGGGGGCUAGCGUUGUUCGGAAUUACUGGGCGUAAAGCGCACGUAGGCGGAUAUUUAAGUCAGGGGUGAAAUCCCGGAGCUCAACUCUGGAACUGCCUUUGAUACUGGGUAUCUUGAGUAUGGAAGAGGUAAGUGGAAUUCCGAGUGUAGAGGUGAAAUUCGUAGAUAUUCGGAGGAACACCAGUGGCGAAGGCGGCUUACUGGUUCAUUACUGACGCUGAGGUGCGAAAGCGUGGGGAGCAAACAGG
rnacentral:rRNA from 1 species